AAAGAAAAAGUAUACCGUGAAAUUUAUUUGGCUCAAUAUGCUCACCAGCUGAGGUAUCUGAAAGUUGAACUAGUACAUCGUGCAAAACUCCAUCUUUCCUAUUCGUCUCUUUGUCUCUUGAACCAUCGCACUUUCAUGAGCAGUCACACGUCGGUUAUUCUUUUAUGUGCAAGUCUAAGAGAUUCUCAUCAUGCAAAUUCAGGUGCUAACACACUGACAAUUCUGAAAAGACAUAAAAACAUUCAACUUGAUAAUAAACAAAGUAACAUAAGGAUGAAACAUAGGGGAUUGUCACUAG
rnacentral:lncRNA from 1 species